CUGCAUCAUUUGUAGGUCAACAACAAGAGGCCAGGACCUCCCAAGAAAAGCUUUACUAAUGUAAUAGCUUUGGCCAAGUCCACCCAAUAUAUUUUCCUCUCUGCAAAGAGAAACAAGCUAUUGUCUCAUCUUAGGUUUCAUCUUCUUCCAUGCCACUGUUAUUCAUGUUCAAAUCCUGGCUGUCCUUCAGGGUCCAAUUCAAAUGAUUAUCGCCAUUUUCUAUUAAUGUCAUUUCUUCCUAUUUUCUACCUUUUGUUAGCUAUGUUAAAGUGUUUCUUUACCAACAUCCCCC
rnacentral:lncRNA from 1 species